GUGGUUUAACUGAACAGGAAGAAGGACAGGAAUGAUGUGAUCCUGUAAAUAUGAGCCUCCAAAUAAAAUAAAUAAAUGAACAAAUGCUCUUUCAGAGGAAUGUUAAAAACAGCACUCCUGUUUUUAACAGAAACAUGCAAGGGAUUUCACAGCCAUG
rnacentral:miRNA from 12 species